GUGCUGGAUGAAGAGGACCUUGUGUCCUACAUCUUGGCCGGACUCGACUUCGACUACAACCCGGUGAUCUCAUCUGUAGUUGGGCGUGCCGAGGCCAUCUCAGUGAGCGAGCUGUACGCCCUGCUGGUUGGUUCUGAGA
rnacentral:snoRNA from 1 species